CCUACGGGGGGCAGCAGUGGGGAAUAUUGGACAAUGGGGGCAACCCUGAUCCAGCCAUGCCGCGUGUGUGAAGAAGGCCCUCGGGUUGUAAAGCACUUUCAGUGAGGAAGAACGCCUGGUGGUUAAUACCCAUCAGGAAAGACAUCACUCACAGAAGAAGCACCGGCUAACUCCGUGCCAGCAGCCGCGGUAAUACGGAGGGUGCGAGCGUUAAUCGGAAUUACUGGGCGUAAAGCGCGCGUAGGUGGCUUGAUAAGCCGGUUGUGAAAGCCCCGGGCUCAACCUGGGAACGGCAUCCGGAACUGUCAAGCUAGAGUGCAGGAGAGGAAGGUAGAAUUCCCGGUGUAGCGGUGAAAUGCGUAGAGAUCGGGAGGAAUACCAGUGGCGAAGGCGACCUUCUGGACUGACACUGACACUGAGGUGCGAAAGCGUGGGUAGCAAACAGGAUUAGAUACCCUUGUAGUC
rnacentral:rRNA from 1 species